UACGUAGGGUGCAAGCGUUGUCCGGAAUUAUUGGGCGUAAAGAGCUCGUAGGCGGUUUGUUGCGUCGGCUGUGAAAUCCCGAGGCUCAACCUCGGGUCUGCAGUCGAUACGAGCAAACUAGAGUGUUGCAGGGGAGACUGGAAUUCCUGGUGUAGCGGUGAAAUGCGCAGAUAUCAGGAGGAACACCGAUGGCGAAGGCAGGUCACUGGGCCGCAACUGACGCUGAGGAGCGAAAGCAUGGGGAGCGAACAGG
rnacentral:rRNA from 1 species